rnacentral:misc_RNA from 1 species
GCCUAAUACCCAGCUGAUGUGGGAAUUAAUGAUUACAUUUGCAAGACUCUAAAAUAGAUUCAAAAUCCAAUAAUUUCCUCUUGAGGCUCACUCAGUUGAACCCAUGUCCAGGAACUAUAGAAAUUCACAAUAGCCUUGAUCCUAAAUGUGCUUGCAAUUGGUUCAUUUUUAAUGAGUAAACUACUGAAAUUUUACAGGGAUCAGUGAUGAAUAGUAUGGAUUGUUGGUAGCUUCCAAAUUAGAUGAGUAAACUAAUAAGAGAUUUAUGCAGCGAAUUAGCUAAAUUGGUACAGGAUAGUAAUCCAUGGAUGCCAGAUGAUGAUAGCCAAUGAAAUUGGCUUGGUAGAAAGAGCAAUGGACUUUAGAGCAGUUAAUGAACUAUAGAAUGACUUUAGGACGGCUCAAAAGAGUUAAAUAGAGUCUAGGAAACCCUGCAGAUUGGGUUGGGACAGGCCUUCAGAGGCUUUUCUCAGGACUGUAGCCGACUGGCUAACCAAGGGUAGCCGAUCAGUUACAAUCUGACAGUUUUGACCUUUGUGCCUUGUUUCAGCCAUAUCUGGAGCUUCAGCCAUAUCCUUGUGUCACGGCCACCUGUUCACAAGGAU